GGCCGGUGCUGCUCGCGGCCGUUCCUUCGCGGAGCCUCCUCCCCGCCACGCAAGGAUGUUUCUCUGCCCUGGUCCCGGGUCUCUGCAGAGCCGCGUCUAAAAUUUCGUGUCUUUCAGAAUCGAUAAAAAUGAAGGGCUGGCGGAAAAGCUUGUUCUUGUUUUUGCAAUGUGAAGACGACCAACAUAGUUCAGACGCAAUGCUGUGCAAAGGCAGACAUGAACAGCCCCACCGCUGCCAGCCUGCUGCUGCCUCACCUUGCAUAAAACCAACAGGAGGGUGUUCCGUGUGGAGAAGUGCAAGGCCUCGCCCUUGGGGCACAGGAAUGGGUGUCAUGAGUACAGCAAUCCUUAAGCUAGGCCAAAAGUGACCAACCUCACAAGGCAAUGACCCAGGAAAGGUAAUAAGCCACGCUAAACAGAAAACAACACCUUAAUGACAUGCCAAUCUGAAGUAGAUCAUCAAAUCACAACUUGGAAUAAAAUGCAAUAAAACUGGCAGCAUGAGCCACAAAAAAACAAA